rnacentral:rRNA from 1 species
CUACAGGCUUAACACAUGCAAGUCGAGGGGCAGCAUGGUCUUAGCUUGCUAAGGCCGAUGGCGACCGGCGCACGGGUGAGUAACACGUAUCCAACCUGCCGUCUACUCUUGGACAGCCUUCUGAAAGGAAGAUUAAUACAAGAUGGCAUCAUGAGUCCGCAUGUUCACAUGAUUAAAGGUAUUCCGGUAGACGAUGGGGAUGCGUUCCAUUAGAUAGUAGGCGGGGUAACGGCCCACCUAGUCUUCGAUGGAUAGGGGUUCUGAGAGGAAGGUCCCCCACAUUGGAACUGAGACACGGUCCAAACUCCUACGGGAGGCAGCAGUGAGGAAUAUUGGUCAAUGGGCGAGAGCCUGAACCAGCCAAGUAGCGUGAAGGAUGACUGCCCUAUGGGUUGUAAACUUCUUUUAUAAAGGAAUAAAGUCGGGUAUGGAUACCCGUUUGCAUGUACUUUAUGAAUAAGGAUCGGCUAACUCCGUGCCAGCAGCCGCGGUAAUACGGAGGAUCCGAGCGUUAUCCGGAUUUAUUGGGUUUAAAGGGAGCGUAGAUGGAUGUUUAAGUCAGUUGUGAAAGUUUGCGGCUCAACCGUAAAAUUGCAGUUGAUACUGGAUAUCUUGAGUGCAGUUGAGGCAGGCGGAAUUCGUGGUGUAGCGGUGAAAUGCUUAGAUAUCACGAAGAACUCCGAUUGCGAAGGCAGCCUGCUAAGCUGCAACUGACAUUGAGGCUCGAAAGUGUGGGUAUCAAACAGGAUUAGAUACCCUGGUAGUCCACACGGUAAACGAUGAAUACUCGCUGUUUGCGAUAUACUGCAAGCGGCCAAGCGAAAGCGUUAAGUAUUCCACCUGGGGAGUACGCCGGCAACGGUGAAACUCAAAGGAAUUGACGGGGGCCCGCACAAGCGGAGGAACAUGUGGUUUAAUUCGAUGAUACGCGAGGAACCUUACCCGGGCUUAAAUUGCAGAUGAAUUACGGUGAAAGCCGUAAGCCGCAAGGCAUCCGUGAAGGUGCUGCAUGGUUGUCGUCAGCUCGUGCCGUGAGGUGUCGGCUUAAGUGCCAUAACGAGCGCAACCCUUGUUGUCAGUUACUAACAGGUUCCGCUGAGGACUUUGACAAGACUGCCAUCGUAAGAUGUGAGGAAGGUGGGGAUGACGUCAAAUCAGCACGGCCCUUACGUCCGGGGCUACACACGUGUUACAAUGGGGGGUACAGAGGGUCGCUACCACGCGAGUGGAUGCCAAUCCCCAAAACCUCUCUCAGUUCGGACUGGAGUCUGCAACCCGACUCCACGAAGCUGGAUUCGCUAGUAAUCGCGCAUCAGCCACGGCGCGGUGAAUACGUUCCCGGGCCUUGUACACACCGCCCGUCAAGCCAUGGGAGCCGGGGGUACCUGAAGUGCGUAACCGCGAGGAGCGCCCUAGGGUAAAACUGGUGACUGGGGCUAAGUCAUAAC